rnacentral:rRNA from 1 species
GUCGAGCGAAUGGAUUAAGAGCUUGCUCUUAUGAAGUUAGCGGCGGACGGGUGAGUAACACGUGGGUAACCUGCCCAUAAGACUGGGAUAACUCCGGGAAACCGGGGCUAAUACCGGAUAACAUUUUACGCUGCAUGGCGUGAAAUUGAAAGGCGGCUUCGGCUGUCACUUAUGGAUGGACCCGCGUCGCAUUAGCUAGUUGGUGAGGUAACGGCUCACCAAGGCAACGAUGCGUAGCCGACCUGAGAGGGUGAUCGGCCACACUGGG